GGAACUAGGAUUGGGGUGGGGUUCAUCCCACCCAGACCACAGAGACUGAAAAUAAGAAAGGGGUGAGGCCUAAGGGACAAUCAGGAUGUUUUUCAGAGAGAAGUGUGGAUGCUGGACAGGAAGAACCACAGAUACCAGAUACGGGUACUGUUGUAACUCUGUUCUCCAUGAAAAAAAAGGAAGAAUCAACACUUUCAGAGAUGGAGCCUGUUGAGCCACAGUACCAACUAGUCAAUGCUGAAUCGACUUCUCCCUUUCUACAUUGCCUGAGAGAAGUCAUUGGGGAAUACUCUGUACACGAAUUUUCACUGUUGGGGAAAACAGAGAGUCAAGGGAUUGGAUUGUGGAUUGCAUUGGUGGUUUUCCUCAGUUUCCUCAUCUUCUCCACAAGUUUCUACAUAUCGAAUGCAGAGCAGCCCUUCUUCAAAGGACCUCCUACGGAAGCUGCUAAGGAACUCAGUCUGUAGCUCUGCGUGGAGCCAUGUGUAAACACUGAACUGAGACCUGCCACCUCCUACUACCUAAGGGCCCAUUUUCAUCUGAUAUCAUCCCCCAGAAACAAACUCAUGAUGACUUCCAUGUUUUUUUUAGAUUAGAUACAUGGAGAAUUUUCCUUUCCCUUAGAAUUAAAAUCCUGCAUUCUAAUUUUCAAGUGAUGUUCCCAGGAGAAAUGAUAAUGCAGCAAUGGACAAGAACAGGAACAAGAGACAGUCUUACCAUCUUCUUACAAUUUAUAGAUGGGACAGUGGAAAGAGAAGCCACAUCGGGGUUGGGCAUGCAGAGACCUGGUCCUAAAUCUGUGUGACUUUUGCGAAAUCCUUUUGCCUCACAGAGCUCUAGGUUCUUAUCUGUCAAACAGGAACCAGACCAUCAGAUCCGUAGAGAUCCAACCAAUGAAGGAGACUUCGAAAACUUCACAUUGCCGUGUCAAUGUGAGGUUGCUGGAUGGUUAUGACAAGAAAUCACAUUAAAUUCACUGGGGUAACAUUGUUCAUGAAACGGGAUAAUGUGUUUCAGCGAUGAACCACCCAUGGCCUUACUACAGACAUAUUUCCACUUUGAAAAUGUGUGUGAGUGUACAUGUCUGUGUGUGAGGCAGAGAUUAGAAAGUGUAAAUGUGUGCGUUUUCAUUUUACACAUCUUACAUUUUCCUUUAAUUUGUUUGAAAGCCUGUUUUGUUUGUGGCUUCCAUUCCUGGAAGUCCCAUGAGUUGUUAGUGGUGAAGAUGGAACAGAUGUGUCCAACCCGGGGGACUCCUGCCCUCAGGGACUGAGCAGCUGCAAACCUCUCUCUCAUCUGAUUCCACUGUUUCUUCCACAUGUACACAUCAUGAGAAAUAUUGUUCAAUCAAUAUCUUCCCUUAAAUCAACUCAUAUGCUUAUUUACAUGAAUUUACCUAAAACAGAAACUUGAUAUCACUUCUGUAAAUGAAAAAAUUAAACUUUCUGGCUUUAAAUAAAGCAUAACAAUAAUAAUCAUGUCAAAA
rnacentral:lncRNA from 1 species